AGUUGUUGCUGGUCCUCAAUGGGGGCAUGUGCACGCUCUGUUUACAUACCCACUCACACCUGUGCACCCUCUGUAGUUCUGUGGUGUGGGGGACUCUGUCCUCCCGCUGUGGUUCUACGUCUUUACACACACACACAGUUUCAUAGAAUGUAUGUCGCGUUUAACGCAAUACAAUACAACUUUCAGCAACGGAUCUCUUGGCUCUCGCAUCGAUGAAGAACGCAGCGAAAUGCGAUAAGUAAUGUGAAUUGCAGAAUUCAGUGAAUCAUCGAAUCUUUGAACGCACCUUGCGCCCUUUGGCUAUUCCGAAGGGCAUGCCUGUUUGAGUAUCAUGAACACCUCAACUCUCAUGGUUUGCCAUGAUGAGCUUGGACUUUGGGGGUCUUGCUGGCCUAUGGGUCGGCUCCUCUCAAAUGGAUCAGCUUGCCGGUGUUUGGUGGCAUCACAGGUGUGAUAACUAUCUACGCUUGUGAUUUUCCAUCAGGUAACCUUCAGUGAUGGAGGUUCGCUGGGGCUCAUAAAUGUCUCUCCUCAGUGAGGA
rnacentral:rRNA from 1 species